rnacentral:lncRNA from 1 species
UGAUAAUGCUGGUUAUGACAGAAAACCAAUAAUCAGCAUGAAAACAUGGAGAUCAAAUGAUAACACAAUUUGUCACACUUCAUAUUUGAAUCAUUGACCAGAGCAUGAAAGUGCAUUUGAUGUCAUUUUAUCAGUGUGUGUCGUCUUCAUCAGCAAGAAAGUUGAUUGUGUGUUACCAGCCCGUAACACAACUGGACCGCCAAAAAAGCAUGGACACACAACUGGACCGCCAAAAGAGCAUGGACACGGCAGAAGUUGCUGAAUUCCUAUGCUGAUAUGGUCACACAUGGGGACACGCUCGGACACAUGUAUCCUGCCAUACUUCGUGAAUUAAUGACUAAAAAAAAGGAGGACACAGCUGGGACACGUGAGGGACCUGGGAGGCCGAACUACGCUUCGACCUGAUAGGAAACCCAUAUUUUUUGCAGGUCGCAUUCAUGGGCGCCACAAAAGGGAGAGCCCUUUUUUUUGCAGGUCGCAUUCAUGGGCGCCACAAAAGGGAGAGCUGGGGCCUCUCUCCUCCCAACGUAGCAGCCGUCCCCCAAGUGCAGGAGCCUCUCUCCUCCCAACGGUAACCAUGCUGGAUCAGUUAACCUCGACCUCUUUCAUCUAUUUGAAUCAUUUUUUUGUUGAGCUGCUGCUGCUUGCUUCCCCUGUUCGGCAUGCCCUCGCUGCUGCUGCUCACUAGUUGUUUUCCCACGCUGCUCAUGUGCUGCUGCUGCUUGCUUGCUUGUUGCCCCAUGUUGUUCCCGUGCUGCUGGCCUGCUGCUUGCUUUUUUGUUGCUUCCCUGUGCUGCUGCUGCCUGCUUGGGUUGAACUGCUGAUUGGUGCUUCAUGUUAGGGAACACCAAAUCAUCCGUGGGUGAGUGGAGGAGGACAACCUGGACCUGGUGUUGACAAUUUGAAAUUGCCAAACCAUAAUGCUAUUGGGAGCUAGCAUUG